rnacentral:rRNA from 1 species
GGCGACCGGGGGGCGGGCAGCGGGGGAAGGAGGAGGGGGGGGGGCGGUGUUCGGAGUAAGUGGGCGUAAAGGGCGCGUAGGCGGACCUCCUUGGCGCGGGGGAAAGCCCCGGGCUGAACCUGGGAACGGCGCGGGAGACGGGGGGGCUGGAGUUCGGGAGAGGAGCGUGGAAUUCCCAGUGUAGAGGUGAAAUUCGUAGAUAUUGGGAAGAACACCGGUGGCGAAGGCGGCGCUCUGGACCGAGACUGACGCUGGGCGCGAAAGCGUGGGGAGCAAACAGGAUUAGAUACCCGGGUAUUC